rnacentral:rRNA from 1 species
GCCAGCAGCCGCGGUAAUAUCAGCUCCCGGAGGCUAUACGUACGUUGUUGCGGUUAAAAAGUUCGUAGUUGGAUUACGGUAUGGAUGCAUAUUGGAUCGGAGAAGGCGUACACUCUGUAUGUAUAAAUUAUAAACAUGAAUAUUUUUAUAAUAUAAUUGUUUAUAAAUUAUAUUAAGAGAAAGUAUGUCAUGCUACUUGAGCUAAUAUGUGGACGUACUUUUGUCGUGAAAUAUUAUUUGUAAAAAAAUAAUAUUUUUGCGAAAUGUGCCUUGAAUAAAAUAGAGUGCUCAAAGCAGGUGUCAAUGUAUUGCGUGCACAUAUUUUAAUAUUUAAUAUAUGUUAUAUUUAUAUACAUUAUUAAAACAUUAUAUACAUGCGCGUAUACUUAUUGCUCGAAUACUCUAGCAUGGAACGAAUGUCCGAUUGCUUAAUAACCCUACUGUAAAGUUUGUUGGUAAUUAUUAAAAUAAUGUAAAUUAUUUUAAUUUUCUUUACAGUGUGCUUGUGUAGCGCAAUAAUAUAAGUACGAAAGUCUUAAUUAUUGGUGCGGGUAUUUGUUGUGUAUAUAGUAAUAUUAAUUUGUCAAUGCAAUGCAUGUUAUAAAAGCAUACAAGAUGUGGGCGAACCCUGCAUAAUAGAUAUGUACAUAUGCUAUAAUUAGCAAUUCCACAGUUGUUGAAAAAAUAUAAUUGUGCGUAAUUAGCUAAUAAUAGGUAUGGAAAUCAUAUGCAUGAGAGGGUGUAGGCAUAUCAGUUAUAUUUUAUGUAUAACAAUUGUAUGUAUAAUUAUUUAUAAUAAGUGUUAGUAUUGAUAUUAAUAUUAUGUUAUUUGAAAGAAUAACACAUUGCUAUAUACUUUCACAUAUGUUUAAUAAAUAUAUGUGCUCAAAUAUGCGUGCAUUAGCUAUGCAGCGGGGGUAUCGGUUAACAGGAGCAUUUGGGGGCAUUAAUAUUUGACCGCGAGAGGUGAAAUUCAUAGACCGGUCAAAGACUAACAAUUGCGAAAGCAUUUGCCAAGAAUGUUUUCAUUAAUCAAGAACGAUAGUUGGAGGAUCGAAGACGAUCAGAUACCGUCGUAGUUCCAACUGUAAACUAUGCCAACUGGGGCUGAGUUUGGAUCGUAUUGGAUCCAAGUUGGGCCCCCGGGGAAACCUGAAGUUUUUGGGUUCCGGGGGGAGUAUGGUUGCAAGGCUGAAACUUAAAGGAAUUGACGG